rnacentral:rRNA from 1 species
GAGUGAACGGCUGGCGGCGUCGCCGUAAUACCAGUGGCAAGUCGAACGCGGAGCACUUGUGCUCGAGGUGGCGGAACGGGUAGGAGUAAUACAUAAGUAACCUGCCCUAGACAGGGGGAUAACUAUUGGAAACGAUAGCUAAGACCGCAUAGGUACGGACACUGCAUGGUGACCGUAUUAAAAGUGCCUCAAAGCACUGGUAGAGGAUGGACUUAUGGCGCAUUAGCUGGUUGGCGGGGUAACGGCCCACCAAGGCGACGAUGCGUAGCCGACCUGAGAGGGUGACCGGCCACACUGGGACUGAGACACGGCCCAG